UACGUAGGGUGCGAGCGUUAAUCGGAAUUACUGGGCGUAAAGCGUACGUAGGCGGUUCGCUGUGUCCGAUGUGAAAGCCCCGGGCUUAACCUGGGAAUGGCAUUGGAAACUGGCGGGCUUGAGUGUGGCAGAGGGGGGUGGAAUUCCGCGUGUAGCAGUGAAAUGCGUAGAGAUGCGGAGGAACACCGAUGGCGGAAGGCAGCCCCCUGGGUUAACACUGACGCUCAGGCACGAAAGCGUGGGGAGCAAACAGG
rnacentral:rRNA from 1 species